AGCAGCCGCGGUAAUUCCAGCUCCAAUAGCGUAUAUUAAAGUUGUUGCAGUUAAAAAGCUCGUAGUUGAAUUUCGGGAUCGACAGGUUGGUCGCGCCUUCGGUGUGUACUGGUCUAGCCGGUUUCUCCCUUCUGACGAACCACGAUGUCAUUAAUUUGGUGUCGUGGGAAAUCAGGACUGUUACUUUGAAAAAAUUAGAGUGUUUAAAGCAGGCAUUAGCUUGAAUACAUUAGCAUGGAAUAAUGAAAUAGGACGUUUGAUCCUAUUUUGUUGGUUUCUAGGAUCGACGUAAUGAUUAAUAGGGAUAGUUGGGGGCAUUAGUAUUCAAUUGUCAGAGGUGAAAUUCUUGGAUUUAUUGAAGACUAACUACUGCGAAAGCAUUUGCCAAGGAUGUUUUCAUUAAUCAAGAACGAAAGUUAGGGGAUCGAAGACGAUCAGAUACCGUCGUAG
rnacentral:rRNA from 1 species